rnacentral:rRNA from 1 species
GACGAACGCUGGCGGCGUGCUUAACACAUGCAAGUCGAACGGUAAGGCCCUUCGGGGUACACGAGUGGCGAACGGGUGAGUAACACGUGGGUGAUCUGCCCUGCACUUCGGGAUAAGCCUGGGAAACUGGGUCUAAUACCGGAUAGGACCACUGCCUGCAUGGGCGGCGGUGGAAAGCUUUUGCGGUGUGGGUUGGGCCCGCGGCCUAUCAGCUUGGUGGUGGGGUGAUGACCUAGCAAGGCGACGACGGGUAGCCGGCCUGAGAGGGUGACCGGCAACACUGGGACGAAGAUACGGCCCAGACUCCUACGGAAGGCAGCAGUGGGGAAUAUUGCACAAUGGGCGCAAGCCUGAUGCAGCGACGCCGCGUGAGGGAUGACGGCCUUCGGGUUGUAAACCUCUUUCAGCACCGACGAAGCGCAAGUGACGGUAGGUGCAGAAGAAGGACCGGCCAACUACGUGCCAGCCGCCGCGGUAA